UAAGGAACUUGGCAAAAUAACCCCGUAACUUCGGGAGAAGGAGUGUCUCCUCACAAAGGGGAUCGCAGUGACCAGGCUCGAGCGAUUGUUUACCAAAAACAUAUGUCUCCGCAAAGUCGAAAGACCAUGUAUGGGGGCUAAUGCCUGCCCAAUACUAGAAGGUCAAGGAAGUUGGUGACCAGAUGACAGAGGAGCCGACAACCGAAGCCCCAAUGAACGGCGUCCGUAACUAUUACGGUCCUUAGGUAGCGAAUUCCUUGUCAGGUAAGAUCUGACCCGAAGAGUAACUAAGACUAAUUCAGUCGCAUUUUCA
rnacentral:ncRNA from 1 species